CGCGCUCCGCACCCAAUCCCCCGUCCUCUCGUCUCACUCCCGCACCAGCCGCCACGCAAUCCUAGGUCUCCUUGCGCUUCGUUCCCCGCUCGCUCGUCCCUCGGUUCUCCCCAUCCCUCCUCUACUCCGGCUGCUACGCCGCCUCUCCCUCCACAACGCGACCAGCUCGAGCUCCACCUCAUCCAUCGCCAUCUCAAGGAGACGGCUGCACAAGACGUCCGGCGCCGUCACCAUCUCUUCGGCACAAGUGAAGCACGGGAUGCUUGCUGCGUCGCCGUCGUCCUUUCUCUCGCUGCCACCACCACCCCGACCGAGCCAUCCCCGUGCUCUCGUUGAGCCUUCCCCCCCUCCGGGCUCACUGACCCAGGUGGCGGUGAAGGAGAGGGUGAGCUCGAGUGGUAGGCAAGGGAGGAGGGCGUGAGCCCUCGUUGAUGCGGUCUCCGUCAGAGGCGACGGGGGAUGGAUCCGCAGGCUGGGCAGCUGGAGGUGGAGGCCACGGCGGGGCGACCACUGGUCCACGGACCGGGCGGAGGACGGGGAGGGGAGGGCGAGUCGCCCCCUCCCCCCACCACCACGCGCAGGUUUGCGUUGGGGAUUGAUUCCUACCAGUGAAAUCUGCAAGGGAGCCGACCUACAGUUUCAUGUAUAGCUCGAGCUCAAGGCGGAGACAAGGAAGGUCGGAAAAUGAAGAGAUGGGAUGAAGGUGCUCGCACUGAAUAUAUAUAGUAGCUGGUGCACGAGCUUGCACUCAACCAGUCUAGACUCAACUCCUCAUAUCGGGUGCGGACUGAGAGUUGGAUGCUCUGUGCCAGCAUAUGGAUGUGUUGCGACCACUGUUGCUUCGGCUGUGAGCGGUCCAGGAUUGCAACCUGGUGUCAUCCACUCCCUACUCACAGGUUACCGUAGUGUUAUGUAAAACAUACCCAAGCUCUCGUUCCUUAAAAUUAUCCAUCUAUUAACUGGAUUAUGAAUAAUUGCUCUUGCAAGUGAAUUUUCAUUACGUGAGUUGAGGAGGAUGCGCGGUCUUCAGACUCGGAGAUUUCUAGUUUUUUCAUUUGAUCAUUUCUGCAGAGAUUGUCCUUCUAUGCAUUAUUUGGUAACCAUCUACUACAGAUCAGCUACUACCCUGCUGCUGCCCUUAUGGUGAAUGAUUGAUGGUGCAUGUUUUCCUGUUAGUUUUUCUGUAUGCCAAGUCUGAAUUUUAUCAUUUUGCAUUUUUCCAGCCCUUUCAUUCUCACUGUGAUUCCCUGAGAUGCAUUGUCCAUAGGCAAUGCACUUUCUAAUAAAAUAUGGCGGUAACCUUGAAAAGACUAAUUUAUCUAGCUACAAAAACAUGUUGUUUAUGUUCCUUGCUUUUGCAAAUACUCCCUCCGUCCGGAAAUACUUGUCCUAGGAAUGGUUGUAUCUAGACUUAGUUUAGUUAUAGAUACAUCCAUUUUAUCCAUUUUUAGGACAAGUAUUUCCGGAAGGAGGGAGUAGUAGUUUAUGGUUGACACUUUAGUCUAUAUCUGUCAUGCACCCAUCUGGACUAUAAAUAGGACCCUCCACCACCACUUGCUAGCAAGUACUACAUCAUACAGCAACAGACACCAUGGAUCUACUUCUGCUACUCAUCUCGCUUCUUAUGGUCACUACAGGAUAGUGAAUCUGGCUUGCGAGUUUUGUCGAUGCGGCCAUGACGGCGAUGCCAAACUCUGAGGAGAUACCAAAGGUGUACUGGGAUAAUCUUGUUGUGCUUUGUUUCUGUAUGAUCUAAAACUACAAGGAUCUUGUUCAGUUCAGAUGUUCUGGAAUGACUGCUUACUUAUAUGGAUAACUUGAACUGAAAGCAAGAGUAGAAUCCCAUGAGAUGAGCCACAAGGAAAAUAUGCAUGAAAAUGGCACAAUCAUGAUUCAGUUUGGUCAGCAAGUACCUAAUUACAAGUCAUCAGCUAGCGAUUCUCCCCAAGAAGUGUUCGGAAUGAGCAAAGGAAGCUUUAAUGAAAAGAAUAUUGAUGUUGAUGUUGUACAAUAGCCGGAAGAUCACAAGAGAUCGACCUUUUGGGUGGUCUAAUACUUCCUAUAUGGGCACAUCGAAAAGCCACUACCUGAUAUUUAUUGUACCUCAUCUUCGCUCCUGGUUGGCGGGGAACCUCUCAUGGUCGAGCCCCUAGCCCCGCACCUUGGCAGCUGCCUGGAGAGGAGGAUAGCUCGAGGACAACUCCCAAUGUGCCGAGGAGAUGGGAACAUGAUAAGCCGAUGCCUAAUAAGGAUCAGGAGAACAACAGAUAUGCUAAGAGACAAUCUUUUGGGGUUAAGGAUAUAAACAACAACAGGGCUUAUGAGGCCGAAGAGAGCUCGAGUGGCGUCUUUUGGUUCUUGAAGACCUGCACGUUCCUGGUGGAGUAGAGCAAAAUAAUUUGGAGGCUUUAAAGCUACUGCACUUCAUGUAGUUAGGAUCAAUUCUCUGUUUCAGUUUGAAAUAUUCCCCAUUUCCUCCUAUUUGAUUGAUUCAUCUGAUGGACAUUUUGUCAGGCAAAUAAACAAAAGGCAUAUGUAUUGUUACGAGUGAAGCCAUCCAUACUCCCAUGUGGAAUUCAAGAAAUAGAGAAAUGUUAUUGUUCUUCUA